CCAAUAGCGUAUAUUAAAGUUGUUGCAGUUAAAAAGCUCGUAGUUGAAUUUCGGGAUCAAGUCGUCGGUCGUGCCUCGGUACGCACUGGUGACAUUGGUUUCUCCCUUCUGAAGAACCUUGAUGUCAUUAAUUUGGUGUCUUGGGGAAUCAGGACUGUUACUUUGAAAAAAUUAGAGUGUUUAAAGCAGGCUCACGCUUGAAUAUAUUAGCAUGGAAUAAUGAAAUAGGACGUGUGAUUCUAUUUUGUUGGUUUCUAGGAUCGACGUAAUGAUUAAUAGGGAUAGUUGGGGGCAUUAGUAUUCAAUUGUCAGAGGUGAAAUUCUUGGAUUUAUUGAAGACUAACUACUGCGAAAGCAUUUGCCAAGGAUGUUUUCAUUAAUCAAGAACGAAAGUUAGGGGAUCGAAGACGAUCAGAUACCGUCGUAGUCUUAACCAUAAACUAUGCCGACUAGGGAUCGGAUGAUGUUAAUUUUUUAAUGACUCAUUCGGCGCCUUACG
rnacentral:misc_RNA from 1 species